rnacentral:rRNA from 1 species
GAUGAACGCUAGCGGGAGGCCUAACACAUGCAAGCCGAGCGGUAUUGUUUCUUCGGAAAUGAGAGAGCGGCGUACGGGUGCGUAACACGUGUGCAACCUGCCUUUAUCUGGGGGAUAGCCUUUCGAAAGGAAGAUUAAUACUCCAUAAUAUAUUGAACGGCAUCGUUUAAUAUUGAAAGCUCCGGCGGAUAGAGAUGGGCACGCGCAAGAUUAGCUAGUUGGUGAGGUAACGGCUCACCAAGGCGAUGAUCUUUAGGGGGCCUGAGAGGGUGAUCCCCCACACUGGUACUGAGACACGGACCAGACUCCUACGGGAGGCAGCAGUGAGGAAUAUUGGUCAAUGGGUGCAAGCCUGAACCAGCCAUCCCGCGUGAAGGACGACUGCCCUAUGGGUUGUAAACUUCUUUUGUGUAGGGAUAAACCUACCCUCGAGAGGGUAGCUGAAGGUACUAUACGAAUAAGCACCGGCUAACUCCGUG